rnacentral:rRNA from 1 species
AACGAACGCUGGCGGCGUGGAUAAGACAUGCAAGUCGAACGGGACUAAAUCUGUAGCAAUACAGGUUUAGUUUAGUGGCGAACGGGUGCGUAACACGUGGGCAAUCUGCCGAGAAGUGGGGGAUAGCUCGCCGAAAGGCGAAUUAAUACCGCAUAUGAUCAGUGAAGACAUCUUCACGACAUCAAAGCCGGGGCAACCUGGCGCUUCUUGAUGAGCCCGCGGCCUAUCAGCUAGUUGGUGAGGUAACGGCUCACCAAGGCUAUGACGGGUAGCUGGUCUGAGAGGACGACCAGUCACACUGGAACUGAGACACGGUCCAGACACCUACGGGU